GCAGUGCUCUAGCAGCACGUAAAUACUGGAGUGGGGGAUCGCCUGUUGCUCUCCAGUAUUGCAUUGCUGCUUUAGUGUGGC
rnacentral:pre_miRNA from 1 species